UGCGGAACAAGGAUGUGUCGAGCGCGCGCCCGCCUCUUGGGCGGAGCCGGGAACAGGAAUGUACCUACAGUAAGACUUGAACAGGUACAGACAAGGAGCGCCAUUAUUAUUCUGUCAAUAUCAGACGAACCGGAGGGUGUUGCUGCUGAUGUGGUUACAGAGUGAUGGGCCUGUCAAAGCGAGUGUCAUUGUGGUCAGUGGAAGAAGUGUUGGAGUGGGUGCAGGAUCAGUACCCAGCCUACAUGGGCACACUCCAGAAAGCCAUAAUUAAGCACGCUAUAUCAGGCCGUGCACUGCUGAGAUUAAAGGAUCAUCACUUGGAGCUUCUCGGGGUGGACACUGAAGAGCAGCAGCAGGAAAUCUUGCAGGACCUCCUCCUCCUCAAAGUUCAAGAAGAAAUCAAUGAGCUCAAUGAUAUCUGCUCUGAGUGUUUUUCUUCAUAACAGGAAAUGAACGUGUUCAAGAGAAAUGCAGCUUCCCUUUUUAUAUUUUCCAUCCAUUCAUCCAUCCAUGUGAAAGAGACAGUGGGAGUGAUGGAAAUAACAGGUGAAAGAGAAAGGAGAAUCAAUGAAGAAUGAAGAGAGAAGGAAACCCAUUUCCUGUGUGAAACCUGACCUGUGCAGAUGGAUGAGAUUAGUUUUUGUCUGAGCGUCGUUUUCUGAUGCCUGCUGUCCAUUAGUCUCUGUCCUCUGUCUUUGUCUGUAGUGGGUUUGCAUCCCAUCACUGCAUCAUGAAAUAUUUUAAGCGACGUUGAACCACUUUGGUCAAGACUGAAAUAUCACAGUAGAUACAGGAUGAAUUGAAAUGAAACAUUGUAAAGACAUUCACGUUCCCCAGAGGAUGAAUCCUUAUGUCUUUGGUGAGCCUCUGAUUUUUCCUCUAGCACCACCAUGAGGUUCAAAUUUGUGGAUAGGGCGAAAUUUCUCAAUAAGCCUUGGAUGGAUUGCCAUAAAAUGUGAUACAGACAUUCAUGUCCCUCUCGGAAUGAAUUGUAAUCUCUUAAUUUUCUCCCUGGCACUGUCAGCAAGUCAAAAAUGCUAUUAUUCCAAUUUUUAGAUUUAUGAUAACUGCAAAACUAAAGACAGCCUUAAGGCCUUUGCACACUGAGUCUGUUUUUUUGUAGAUGCUUUUUUUUAAAAAAAAUCCGUCUUCUGGGAAAAAAAAACGUUAUGCACAGAAACCUUGCGCACUGCGUUGUAAUGCUCUUUUCGGUGUGAAAAUUCGCAAUAUGUGACAACAUGUAAAAGACACGUUUCCUCCAUUGCCUCUCUAGUUACCCUUCUGGCCGUCACCCCUCUCUGUUUUGCAUUGGCAAUGCGGGGCUGUCCUCCAAAUUCUGUGUGUGGACUACAUCCUCCUCCUCGUCAUCAUUAUGCACCUGAAUAUCACUAUCUGACCUGAUGAACUUGAGCCAUCUGAGUUAUGAAAUGACUCUAUGCACCCCGUUCCUCUGUCUUGCCUCGUCUGUGUCCCGCCACCACAUUUUCUUGACUGAUUCUUGGUCAAACGUCUCGAAAGGCUUCUGACAGAUGUGAAAAACGCAGAAAAUCGCACCUGUUCUGAAAUAUUUUAUGAAUUUUGACUCUGUGUGCAAACAGGAUUGACACAAUGUGAGGUUGUAUUUUCUUUAGACAUGCAACAAUGUCGGAUGAAAAAAGACUGUGCAAAGACCUGUACAUUUUUGUGCUAUUUAGCACUACGCCAAUUAGCUUACGUUUGCAUGCUAACACACUAAAAUAAAAUGAACACAGUAAACAUUAUACUUGCUAAUAUAUUAUAACCAUUUAACAUUUUCAGUAGGUGUGUUUUCAUCCACCUGUUUUAUGCACAUUUUCAGUCUGCGCAUUAAAAAACCGUCAAUUUCUUUUUUUAAAAAAUAUCAAAAUUUUGCGAAAAAGCUUACACUUGGGGAAGGUUGAGUGUAUCUAUAAAACGUAAAUGUGAGUAAGUACAAUGGAAACAGAUUCAAUGAUUAAAUGAUUAUGUACAGUUAUGAUGCACCGUCAUUGCGUAGGCCAUUGCAAGCGCUCUUCGUCACCUCUAGAUGGCUUUUUAACACACUUUUGUAUACACAUAGAGCAGUUAUAUUAUUUGUUACUCAUUUCCAUUGUUUAGGGUUCUCUGUUUUUUAUGCAUCCAUUGUUUUCCGUUGUUUGAGGUUUGACUGGCGCUCUUAUAAUUACAACAUCCUGUUGGGCCCUCUGCUGCAGUGGCAUCUAACUGGAGAAAUAGCGCCGCUGCCACCUACUGCUAAAAUAAAUCAUCAAACUUCCUAUAUUUGCACAACAGUAAUGGAUGGCAAAGCACACCAAUUUUCUUUUGCUGAUUUUAAAAAUAAUUUCUAAAACUUUGGUUAAAAUUUGCUCUACAUUUGGAUGGAACGACUGUAAGCGUGUUGCCAUGCUAGCAUUAGCAUUUAGCUCAAACUACUACAGUGCCAAAGUAAAGCCUCCAAGAGCUGCUAGCAUGGCUGUAGACUGCUAAUCUUGUUAAACAACAUAAUUUAGGGCAUUUUUAUAUUAGGGACAAUUCAGUAAUACUGUGCCCAAGUAUGAUUGCCACCCAAAACAAGGCCUGAUAAUAAUCUAAACAAGGUUAUAAAUGUACAGUAUGGUCUCGCAUGUAUCACAGGGUGCUCUGCUGCGUGAUAAACAGUGUCAGACAAGCCUAACUCUCAGGAAGAUGCAGAAAAAGAGAAAAUCCAUAAGUCAGCUUUGGUGCGUUUCCAUUUAAACAUUUCUAUCUGUCGAAUCCAAACAGUAAAACUUCCUCCUGCUGUUUGCUUUUCUCUCUCACAGACACUGACUGAAAUUCAUUUAUAAAACCAGCUGCUGGUUUAAAUCUCCUGUUUUGAUUUGAAAUGUCUGUCCUUGUAUUUUUGACUGAUAAAACCACAAACAAUGUUUCUCUCAAGUGAAUAGUGAACAGAGGUACAGAAAACCAUCUGGACUUCUCUAGAUUUGAUGCUGUUUUGUUUUUGAUACAUACUGGUCAGUGUGAUCAGUGUGUUGAAUCUGGCUGCAGCUGAUAUGCUGAGAUUAAUAACUUGUGGUCCUAAAACUUUCAGAUGCCUUUUUUUAUAUAUAAUGCCCUUUUUCCUUUAUUUAUGAUGCUGGCCUCUUUUUAAUGUGUAUUCUAGGCAUCAACACCCCUCCACAUUUGUAUUACAUUUAGUAAAAGGUCAUGUCUAUUUCAGAAUAUUUUUCACAGCAAUGCUACAGUAUGGUUGGUUGAAUAAAAAGUGCU